UGGGGAAUUUUGGACAAUGGGCGAAAGCCUGACCCAGCAAUGCCGCGUGUGUGAAGAAGGCCUUCGGGUUGUAAAGCACUUUUGUCCGGAAAGAAAUCCUUGGCUCUAAUACAGUCGGGGGAUGACGGUACCGGAAGAAUAAGCACCGGCUAACUACGUGCCAGCAGCCGCGGUAAUACGUAGGGUGCAAGCGUUAAUCGGAAUUACUGGGCGUAAAGCGUGCGCAGGCGGUUUGCUAAGACCGAUGUGAAAUCCCCGGGCUCAACCUGGGAACUGCAUUGGUGACUGGCAGGCUAGAGUAUGGCAGAGGGGGGUAGAAUUCCACGUGUAGCAGUGAAAUGCGUAGAGAUGUGGAGGAAUACCGAUGGCGAAGGCAGCCCCCUGGGCCAAUACUGACGCUCAUGCACGAAAGCGUGGGGAGCAAACAGGAUUAGAUACCCUGGUAGUCCACGCCCUAAACGAUGUCAACUAGUUGUUGGGGAUUCAUUCCUUAGUAACGUAGCUAACGCGUGAAGUUGACCNCCUGGGGAGUACGGUCGCAAGAUUAAAACUCAAAGGAAUUGACGGGGUCAUAGCUG
rnacentral:rRNA from 1 species